rnacentral:rRNA from 1 species
GAUGAACGCUGGCGGCGUGCUUAACACAUGCAAGUCGAACGGAAAGGCCCUUUCUUGCCGGGGUACUCGAGUGGCGAACGGGUGAGUAACACGUGGGUGAUCUGCCCUGCACUUCGGGAUAAGCCUGGGAAACUGGGUCUAAUACCGGAUAGGACCAUCGUUUAGUGUCGGUGGUGGAAAGUUUUUUCGGUGUGGGAUGAGCUCGCGGCCUAUCAGCUUGUUGGUGGGGUAAUGGCCUACCAAGGCGUCGACGGGUAGCCGGCCUGAGAGGGUGUACGGCCACAUUGGGACUGAGAUACGGCCCAGACUCCUACGGGAGGCAGCAGUGGGGAAUAUUGCACAAUGGGCGCAAGCCUGAUGCAGCGACGCCGCGUGGGGGAUGACGGCCUUCGGGUUGUAAACUCCUUUCGUCAGGGACGAAGCGAAAGUGACGGUACCUGGAUAAGAAGCACCGGCUAACUACGUG